AUGAGGUUGUAUAUCCCGCCGGAGGGCAUCCAUAGAUCCUUCGAUAAGGACCUAGCUAGAUUCUUUUGGCAGGCCGCUGAUGGUCGUCAGAAGUAUCACAUGGUCAAGUGGGCGGAUAUCUGCAUGCCCAAAGACCAAGGUGGCUUGGGUAUUGUAGCCUCCCAACGUAUGAAUGUCGCAAUAAUGCUAAGAUGGGUUUGGCGGAUAUUGCGCGACAAGGGAGGCCUAUGGCUCCAGCUCAUUCAGGCAAAAUAUCUUAGGGGCGAGCCCCUUUUGGCAUGCUCUCGGAUGGGAGGGUCACAGUUUUGGCGUUCCAUCCAGAGGAUCAAGGAGGAAAUCUGCCUAGGGAUUUCUUUCUCCAUAGGGAAUGGAAACGGGGCCAAAUUCUGGUUGGACCCAUGGUUGGGUACCGAGCCGAUACGCGUGAGCUACCCUGGCUUGUUCUUGAUCUGUGCGGACCUAUCCGCCCUUGUCUUUUCGACGCUACGGGAUGGACAGUGGCAGGUUAGAUCCCGUUGCACCUUUGGGCAAGCAGAGAGUGACGAUUGGAAAAGACUACGGGCUGCUCUCCCACACGUGCUGCCGGAGUAUCCGGACACUGUGUCAUGGAGGCUCGCCCGACAGCGGAGUUUUCGGUGUGCACGGCAUACCAUUCUCUACGCUGGUCACCAGACACACCCUGGUUAG
rnacentral:rRNA from 1 species